rnacentral:rRNA from 1 species
GUCUUAUUGUGUUGAAUAUUAAGUCUAACCUGCCCAUUGAUAAUAAAUUUUGAAAGGCUGCAGUAUUUUGACUGUACAAAGGUAGCAUAAUCAUUAGUUUACUAAUUUUAAACUGGAAUGAAGGGUUGAAUGAAAUAAAAACUUUUUUAAUUUAAAAAUUUGAAUUUUACUUUUAAGUUAAAAGGCUUAAAUAAUUUUAAAAGACGAGAAGACCCUAUAGAGUUUUAUAGUUUAAGUAGGAUAUUAAUUAAUUUAUAUAAUAAUAAAUUAUGUUUAAUUUAAGAAAAUUAAAAAUAUUUUGUUGUUAUAAAUUAUUUAUUGAUUAAUUAAUUAGAUUAAGUUUUUCUUUUAGAAUUAUUUAGUUGGGGUGACUUUAAAAUUUAUAAAACUUUUAUAUUUAUAUAACAAUAAUUUUUGAAUAAUUGAUCCAUAAUUUAUGAUUAUUAGAUUAAAUUACCUUAGGGAUAACAGCGUAAUUUCUUUUAAAGUUCUUAUUUAAAGAGAAGAUUGCGACCUCGAUGUUGGAUUAAGAUUAAUUUUAGUUGCAGAAGUUUAAAUAUUAAGUCUGUUCGACUUUUAAAUUCUU